rnacentral:rRNA from 1 species
UACGUAGGGUGCAAGCGUUAAUCGGAAUUACUGGGCGUAAAGCGUGCGCAGGCGGUUUGUUAAGUCUGUUGUGAAAUCCCCGGGCUCAACCUGGGAAUUGCGUUGGAGACUGCAAGGCUGGAGUCUGGCAGAGGGGGGUAGAAUUCCACGUGUAGCAGUGAAAUGCGUAGAGAUGUGGAGGAACACCGAUGGCGAAGGCAGCCCCCUGGGUCAAGACUGACGCUCAUGCACGAAAGCGUGGGAGCAAACAGG